GGAGGGCAAGUCUGGUGCCAGCAGCCGCGGUAAUUCCAGCUCCAAUAGCGUAUAUUAGAGUUGUUGCAGUUAAAAAGCUCGUAGUUGGAUUUCGGGGUUCUACCGUUGGUCGGGCUUUGUCUGUACUGGUGUGUAGAAUUUCUACCUUCUGGGGAACCAUCAUGCUAUUAAUUUAGCGUGGUGGGAAACCAGGACCUUUACCUUGAAAAAAUUAGUGUGUUCAAAGCAGGCUUAUGUCUGAAUACAUUAGCGUGGAAUAAUAGAAUAGGACGGUGGUCCUGUUUUGUUGGUUUCUGAAUCACCGUAAUGAUUAAUAGGGAUAGUUGGGGGCAUUAGUAUUCAAUUGUCAGAGGUGAAAUUCUUGGAUUUAUUGAAGACUAACUUCUGCGAAAGCAUUUGCCAAGGAUGUUUUCAUUAAUCAAGAACGAAAGUUAGGGGAUCGAAGACGAUCAGAUACCGUCGUAGUCUUAACCAUAAACUAUGCCGACUAGGGAUCGGACGAUGUUAAUUUUUCUUGACUCGUUCGGCGCCUUACGGGAAAC
rnacentral:rRNA from 1 species